rnacentral:rRNA from 1 species
UACGAAGGGGGCGAGCGUUGUUCGGAAUUACUGGGCGUAAAGGGCGCGCAGGCGGCUCAGACAGUCAGAUGUGAAAGCCCCGGGCUCAACCUGGGAAUGGCAAUGGAUACUGGCAGGCUAGAGUGCGGUAGAGGGUAGUGGAAUUCCCGGUGUAGCGGUGAAAUGCGUAGAGAUCGGGAGGAACACCAGUGGCGAAGGCGGCUACCUGGACCAGCACUGACACUGAGGCACGAAAGCGUGGGGAGCAAACAGG